GGAGUUUGGUCCGUGUCUCAGUACCAAUGUGGGGGACCUUCCUCUCAGAACCCCUACUGAUCGUCGCCUUGGUGGGCCGUUACCCCGCCAACCGGCUAAUCAGACGCAUCCCCAUCCCUUACCGAUGAAUCUUUGCUCCUCGUUAGAUGCCCGCAAAGGAGAACAUAGGGCAUUAAUCCGACUUUCGCCGGGCUAUUCCCUAGUAAGGGGAAGGUUGGAUACGCGUUACUCACCCGUGCGCCGGUCGCCAUCAAAGUUUGCAAGCAAACUUCAUGCUGCCCCUCGACUUGCAUGUGUUAAGCCUGUAGCUAGCGUUCAUC
rnacentral:rRNA from 1 species